AUUGAACGCUGGCGGCAUGCCUUACACAUGCAAGUCGAACGGCAGCACGGGUGCUUGCACCUGGUGGCGAGUGGCGAACGGGUGAGUAAUACAUCGGAACGUACCUUAUCGUGGGGGAUAACGCAGCGAAAGCUGUGCUAAUACCGCAUACGCCCUGAGGGGGAAAGCGGGGGAUCGAAAGACCUCGCGCGAUUAGAGCGGCCGAUGCCUGAUUAGCUUGUUGGUGGGGUAAAAGCCCACCAAGGCAACGAUCAGUAGCUGGUCUGAGAGGACGAUCAGCCACACUGGGAGUGAGACACGGCCCAGACUCCUACGGGAGGCAGCAGUGGGGAAUUUUGGACAAUGGGGGCAACCCUGAUCCAGCAAUGCCGCGUGAGUGAAGAAGGCCUUCGGGUUGUAAAGCUCUUUUGUCAGGGAAGAAACACCGGCUCUAACACAGUCCGGGAAUGACGGUACCUGAAGAAUGAGCACCGGCUAACUACGUGCCAGCAGCCGCCGUAA
rnacentral:rRNA from 1 species